rnacentral:rRNA from 1 species
UACAGAGGUCUCAAGCGUUGUUCGGAUUCAUUGGGCGUAAAGGGCGCGUAGGCGGCGGGGUAAGUCGGGUGUGAAAUCUCAGAGCUCAACUCUGAAACUGCACUCGAUACUACUCUGCUUGAGGACUGGAGAGGAGACUGGAAUUCACGGUGUAGCAGUGAAAUGCGUAGAUAUCGUGAGGAAGACCAGUGGCGAAGGCGGGUCUCUGGACAGUUCCUGACGCUGAGGCGCGAAGGCCAGGGGAGCAAACGGG